UACGUAGGGGGCAAGCGUUGUCCGGAUUUAUUGGGCGUAAAGAGCGUGUAGGCGGCUUGGUAGGUCUCGCGUCAAAACCUGAGGCUCAACCUCAGUUCGCGUGGGAAACCACCUAGCUAGAGUCCGGAAGAGGAGAACGGAAUUCCCAGUGUAGCGAUGAAAUGCGCAGAUAUUGGGAAGAACACCAGUGGCGAAGGCGGUUCUCUGGGACGGUACUGACGCUGAGACGCGAAAGCGUGGGGAGCGAACAGG
rnacentral:rRNA from 1 species